rnacentral:lncRNA from 14 species
CAGAGGUGUUUCUGUGCUCACACCUUGGAGCUGGCUGUGUGUGAAGGGGUUGUUGGGCAGUCAGGAGGUCUGGGGCGCAGCAGCUCCAGCCCCAGGCUCGGGAGGAGGAGGCUGAAGAGCCUCUUGAGCUCCCUCCAGCAGCCCCCUGCUCUUACCUCUGCUGUGCCUCUUGAGCAUCCCUCAUCAUCUCCCCAUGCCUCCAUCAUCUCCCCAUGCCUCCAUCAUCUCCCCAUCCCUCAUCAUCUCCCCAUCCCUCAUCAUCUCCCCAUGCCUCCAUCAUCUCCCCAUCCCUCAUCAUCUCCCCAUCCUUCCAUCAUCUCCCAAUGCCUCCAUCAUGUCCCCAAGCCCCUCCAUCAUCUCCCGGUCCCUCCUGUCCCAGCACUGCAGAGGGGCUGCUGCAGCCCCCGCGGGUGCAGGGGGUGCCUGGGCACUGCCCCCCUGGGCUGGAGCCGCGGGCAGUGGGAAGGUCACCGGCUCCAGCGCCUGGCAACAACCGGGCAAUAAAGGAGUAAUCCGAGGCCUGAAGGACAGAGCGGGGCUGAGUCCCUGUGCGCGGGGCAGCUGCUGGUGUCGCUCAGAGCAGAGCCCCACAGGCCCUGGUGCUGCCGGCUCCAGCCGCAGCUCCCGCUGCCCUGGGAGCACAGGGGGGCCCUGGCUCAGUGUCAUGCCUGGGGGGCACAGCGGGGCAGCCGGUGCUGGGGCCACUGCAGCAGCUCAGCACAAGGCGCUGCUGGGAUCACGUCUGUUGGGAGCAGCAGCACCGGGCAGGGGCUCUGCAAUUGCAGGUCAGUGCAUGUGGUUUAACCUGCUUCAAGCCAUCGCAUCAGGCCUCGAGCAGGGCAGCCAAGCUCCCUGGUUACUCGGCAGGGAGGGAAUUGUGCUGCUCCUGUGUUACAGUUCCCUUGGGCAGUUCCUGCUGGAUGCAGGGACGUGGGGAGCCAGUGAGGUGUUCCGUGGGUCACUGUGCCCCUUCCCUCCCAGCAAACAGCCUCUGCUGCCCUGCCCCUGCAGUGCUUGCUGUGUGCCGAGCUGGGGCUCGCUGCCAGCAUCACACCCAGCUCCAGCUCUGGGAAGUGGGAUGGAAGCUGUGCUCUGGGACACGUCCCGUGGGCCUUGUCCUGAGCAGAGCAGCUGGGGCGCAGCACAGCCCUCCACAGGCUCCACUCGUGUUACCUGCAGUGUGUCUGCCCGGGGCCUUUGGUCCAUCCCUAUGGCCCAGGCUCUGCCUGUCUGAGACGGGAAAUCUCUGGAAUUGAUGUAUUCAUUUGGGAUGGCUGCAGUGAGCUGAGGCUGAUGGCUCUGGAGGGAGCGGGCAGCAGGAGAGGGGAUGUGGAGAGAGCCCAGAGGAGGC